rnacentral:pre_miRNA from 1 species
UACGUACUCCCUCCGUUCCGAAUUACUCGUCGCAGAAAUGGAUGUAUCUAGAUGUAUUUUAGUUCUAGAUACAUCUAUUUCUGCGACGAGUAAUUUGGAACGGAGAGAGUAUUAU